rnacentral:rRNA from 1 species
AUUGAACGCUGGCGGCAGGCCUAACACAUGCAAGUCGAGCGGAUGAAGGGAGCUUGCUCCUGGAUUCAGCGGCGGACGGGUGAGUAAUGCCUAGGAAUCUGCCUGGUAGUGGGGGAUAACGUCCGGAAACGGGCGCUAAUACCGCAUACGUCCUGAGGGGGAAAGUGGGGGAUCUUCGGACCUCACGCUAUCAGAUGAGCCUAGGUCGGAUUAGCUAGUUGGUGGGGUAAAGGCCUACCAAGGCGACGAUCCGUAACUGGUCUGAGAGGAUGAUCAGUCACACUGGAACUGAGACACGGUCCAGACUCCUACGGGACGCAGCAGUGGGGAAUAUUGGACAAUGGGCGAAAGCCUGAUCCAGCCAUGCCGCGUGUGUGAAGAAGGUCUUCGGAUUGUAAAGCACUUUAAGUUGGGAGGAAGGGCAGUAAGUUAAUACCUUGCUGUUUUGACGUUACCAACAGAAUAAGCACCGGCUAACUUCGU